GGGCGUGUGGUCUAGUGGUAAAGACGUUAGACGCCUAAGCUGAAGACCCGGGUUCGAUUCCCGGCUCGGCCA
rnacentral:tRNA from 1 species